UCUAACAGAUACGCGAUUUCCUGCCCACCACUAGUCAAAAGCAAUGGCGCUAUGAUUUCCGUCAGGCAUUUAUCGAAACAGUGGUGUGCUUGUAAGUUUAACGAACAGUAAGAGAUCCUGAAGGUUGGAAAUUCCAAAUGGUCAAAAGAAUUUUUACUGAAAAUUGCUGGGCUGAUGAAGAGAACUGCAAGCAAGGAAAGUGUGUGAGGAGGAUUGGCUGCGAGGAAGACAUUGGAAAUGGUAGCAAGCCAACAAAUAUGAAAAAAUGCUUGCAAAGAGAACGUGGAGCUCUAUUGUUGGAAUUUGAUGAAAACAUAUGAAGUCGGUCCCUGAUGGAAGACAUUCCUUUGACCAAGAGAAGAACUACAGAAGUGACACUGUGCUACAGGCUUUAAAGGGCAAAGAAACUUUAUUUGUUAAAAGGAUGAAGCAGGCUAGAGAAUGUUUACCAUUUUCACCGAUAACUGCUAAGGAUGUGAGCCAUUCCAUGCUGCGAAGCCAUGGGAUAUGACAGAAGGGUUUACUACGAGUUUCUGAAACUCGUUGAGAGGCAGUGUUGCAUUAAUACUUGGGCUGCUACUAUGUACUGUUACUUGUGUAUUGUUGAGGGAAAGCAGUGUGCUAGAAGUAACGUAUAUUCAAAGCAGACAUGCAAAUGUGAAAAGGUUGUGCACUUCAAUGUGAGAUUUAAAGCAGAACGUGGAAUGUUACUGAGACAUGAAGGCUCAACUUAAGGAUGUGGUGUAAUCGAAUAAUUUAAUAAUAUGUUGUGAAUUGUGUUUCCUGUGGGAA